rnacentral:rRNA from 1 species
CCUACGGGAGGCAGCAGUGGGGAAUAUUGCACAAUGGGCGCAAGCCUGAUGCAGCCAUGCCGCGUGUAUGAAGAAGGCCUUCGGGUUGUAAAGUACUUUCAGUCGUGAGGAAGGCGUUGUCGUUAAUAGCGGCAUCGUUUGACGUUAGCGACAGAAGAAGCACCGGCUAACUCCGUGCCAGCAGCCGCGGUAAU